GAUGAACGCUGGCGGCGUGCUUAACACAUGCAAGUCGAACGAAGCAAUUCUUUUGGAAGCGGAUUAGUUUACUAAGAAGUGGACAUGUGAAUUGACUGAGUGGCGGACGGGUGAGUAACGCGUGGGUAACCUGCCUCACACUGGGGGACAACAGUUGGAAACGACUGCUAAUACCGCAUAAGACCACAGUACCACAUGGUACAGGGGUAAAAACUCCGGUGGUGUGAGAUGGACCCGCGUCUGAUUAGCUAGUUGGUGGGGUAACGGCCUACCAAGGCGACGAUCAGUAGCCGACCUGAGAGGGUGACCGGCCACAUUGGGACUGAGACACGGCCCAAACUCCUACGGGAGGCAGCAGUGGGGAAUAUUGCACAAUGGGGGAAACCCUGAUGCAGCGACGCCGCGUGAGUGAAGAAGUUAUUCGUAAUGUAAAGCUCUAUCAGCAGGGAAGAAAAUGACGGUACCUGACUAAGAAGCCCCGGCUAACUACGUGCCAGCCGCCGCCGUAAGAC
rnacentral:rRNA from 1 species